rfam:Gossypium hirsutum cultivar TM-1 chromosome 23, whole genome shotgun sequence
GAGUGUGAUCAUACCAGCACUAAUAUACCAGAUUUCAUCAGAAUUAUAUAGUCAAACGUGUUUGGGCGAAAGUAAUACUAGGAUGGAUAACCUUUUGGGACGUUUUCGUAUUACAUUUU